rnacentral:rRNA from 1 species
CCUACGGGAGGCAGCAGUGAGGGAUAUUGCGCAAUGGGCGAAAGCCUGACGCAGCGACGCCGCGUGGGCGAGGAAGGCCUUCGGGUUGUAAAGCCCUUUUGGCAGGGAAGAGCAAGGACUGUACCUGCAGAACAAGUCACGGCUAACUACGUGCCAGCAGCCGCGGUAAAACGUAGGUGGCGAGCGUUAUCCGGAAUCACUGGGUGUAAAGGGCGCGCAAGCGGGUAAGCAAGUCGGUGCUGAAAGCUGUCCGCUAAACGGACAAAUUGGUGCCGAUACUGUUUAUCUUGAGUGCGGAAGAGGGUGAGGGAAUUCCUGGUGUAGCGGUGAAAUGCGUAGAUAUCAGGAAGAACACCGGUGGCGAAGGCGGUCACCUGGUCCGCAACUGACGCCCAGAGCGCGAAAGCGUGGGGAGCAAACCGGAUUAGAUACCCGGGUAGU